UACGUAGGGGGCGAGCGUUGUCCGGAUUUAUUGGGCGUAAAGAGCUCGUAGGCGGUUCGGUAAGUCGGAUGUGAAAUCUCCACGCUCAACGUGGAGGGGCCAUUCGAUACUGCCGUGACUCGAGUCCGGUAGGGGAGUGUGGAAUUCCCGGUGUAGCGGUGAAAUGCGCAGAGAUCGGGAGGAACACCCAUAGCGAAGGCGGCACUCUGGGCCGGUACUGACGCUGAGGAGCGAAAGCGUGGGGAGCGAACAGG
rnacentral:rRNA from 1 species